GCCUUCAUGGUAUAGUGGUCAACACGCUCGACGUGUAUUCGAGAGGUCCGUGGUUCGAGUCCUGGUUUAGGGCA
rnacentral:tRNA from 1 species